ACGAUUGAAGCGGCAUCCUUUUUUGGCUUUUUCUGCCAAAAAGAUACAGCGGAAAGCGUGUUAAAAC
rnacentral:sRNA from 1 species